ACGGCGAGUGAAGCGGGAAGAGCUCAUGUUGUAAAUCUCCAGCUUGCUGGCGAAUUGUAGUCUAAAGGUGCGUGCUCAGUCGUGGUCCCGGGCUAAGUCUGUUGGAAAACAGCAUCAUGGACGGUGACAAUCCGGUUCUUGCCUGGGGUCCCGCGGCGUACGAGCCGUUUCCGACGAGUCGUGUUGCUUGGGAUUGCAGCACUAAGUGGGUGGUAAAUUCCAUCUAAAGCUAAAUAUUGGUGGGAGACCGAUAGCGAACAAGUACCGUGAGGGAAAGAUGAAAAGACUUUUGAAAAGAGAGUAAAAUAGUACCUGAAACUGCUGAAAGGGAAGCGAUUGAAGUCAGUGUUGCUCCUGGUCUUUUUGCCGUCGCCCCCGUGGGGGUUGCGGCGUGGGGCCUGGAGCGUUUCAACAUGCGUUCUGUUCCGCGGGAAAUGUUCAGUGUGCUGGAACCUUCGGGGAAACGCACUGUUCUUGUCGUGGUUAGGACGGAGGACCUUUGCUCCUUUGACUGCGCGUUCCUCUCUCGGGUAUGCUGGUGUCUACUGCUUGCAGUUUUCAUUUUCAUGCUUGCGACUGUGCGUGUUAUCAUGA
rnacentral:rRNA from 1 species